UUUUAUAAUAUUUUAUAAUAUAUAUUUAAUGAGUUAACCUAGAGACAUACAAAAUCAGUAACUUAUGCACACAAUUAAUAAAUUCAAGAAAUUUACAAACCAUUUCCAAGCAUUCAUUCAUCACCAUGAUUCACAGCUUCAAACAACAAAAUACUCAUUAUCUUUCUACCCUUCAACAUACAUGGUUUUUCCCCUUUUUCUUCCAGAUAAAGACAAUGUUCAUGUAUGAAGAUAGCAUCACGAUAGUUACCAGCC
rnacentral:lncRNA from 1 species